rnacentral:rRNA from 1 species
UACGGAGGUGGCUAGCGUUGUUCGGAAUUACUGGGCGUAAAGGGCGCGUAGGCGGCAUUGCAAGUCAGAUGUGAAAGCCCCGGGCUUAACUCGGGAACUGCAUCUGAAACUGCUUUGCUUGAGUCCUGGAGGGGGUAGUGGAAUUCCCAGUGUAGCGGUGAAAUGCGUAGAUAUCAGGAGGAACACCGGUGGCGAAGGCGGGUCUCUGGGCCGAUACUGACGCUGAGGAGCGAAAGCGUGGGGAGCAAACAGG